rnacentral:lncRNA from 1 species
CGUCUAGAAUUUCUAACAGGUCUUAUUUUUGCAGUUCCUGACCACCUCGGCUUUAAGAAUAUUCUGCACCCAGGAGGGAGCUACAUUACUUUAAGACUUGCUGGGAGCUGGGACGCCCCUCUGGCAAUCUGUCAGUGCCUGCAUCAACAGUCUCCUUCCUGGGGUAUUUUCUCACCAGACUGACAGUCCUUAAGACAAGUAUGCAGUUAAGCUGCUAAGG